rnacentral:rRNA from 1 species
UAGGGAAUAUUGGUCAAUGGGCGAGAGCCUGAGCCAGCCAUGCCGCGUGCAGGACGACGGCCUUCUGGGUUGUAAACUGCUUUUAUACAGGAAUAAAAAGGGCCUGCGGGCUUCAUUGCAUGUACUGUAUGAAUAAGCACCGGCUAACUCCGUGCCAGCAGCCGCGGUAAUACGGAGGGUGCAAGCGUUGUCCGGAUUUAUUGGGUUUAAAGGGUGCGUAGGCGGUUAUUUAAGUCAGUGGUGAAAACCCUGAGAUCAACUGAGGGCUUGCCAUUGAUACUGGAUAACUUGAUUACCGUACAGGUAGGCGGAAUUUAUGGUGUAGCGGUGAAAUGCAUAGAUACCAUAAAGAACACCGAUAGCGAAGGCAGCUUACUGGAGGGUUAAUGACGCUGAUGCACGAAAGCGUGGGUAGCGAACGGGAUUAGAUACCCCGGUAGUCC